rnacentral:rRNA from 1 species
CCUACGGGAGGCAGCAGUGAGGAAUAUUGGUCAAUGGACGAGAGUCUGAACCAGCGAAGUAGCGUGAAGGAUGACUGCCCUAGGGGUUGUAAACUUCUUUUAUAGGGGAAUAAAAUGUUCCACGUGUGGGAUUUUGUAUGUACCAUAUCAAUACAGAACGGUUAACUCCGUGCCAGCGGCCGCGGUAAUACGGAUGUUCCGAGCGUUAUCCGGAUUUAUUGGGUUUAAAGGGAGCGGAGGGGGAGCGUCAAGCCAGUUGUGAAAGCUGGGGGCUCAACCGUAAAAUUGCAGUUGAAACUGGCAGUCUUGAGUACAGGAGAGGUGGGCGGAAUUCGUGGUGUAGCGGUGAAAUGCUUAGAUAUCACGAAGAACUCCGAUUGCGAAGGCAGCUCACUGGACUGCAACUGACGCUGAGGCUCGAAAGUGUGGGUAGCAAACAGGAUUAGAUACCCCUGUAGUC